GGGGGUAUAGUUCAGUAGAAGCGUAUUUGAUUGCAGAUUAACUGAUCCUUGGUUCAAAGCCAAGGGCCCCCU
rnacentral:tRNA from 1 species